GUGAAAAGACACAAUUUACUAUGAGAGUUCAGAGAAAGAAUAGAAUUAGGAAAAGCUAAACAGAAGAAUUGGUCCAAAGAUGGGGAGAAUUUCAAAUGGCAGAAAUUGAGGGAAAGGGUUAUUUAAAAAAACCUGUUCAAUUGAUAUCAUAGGAUGCUAAAAAUACUGACUCUAAUAUACCAUGCUUUUAUAACAGAGAUUUGGUGAUUAGUAGAAAUGAAAAGACCUAGAAAAUCAAGAAGAUCAGGUAGAUUAACAGAGUCAACCAAAAAAUAUGGUUCUAAACCUGGAAUUGCAAUUAGGGAUCUGAUAGUCUAGGAACAGGGACAUGCAACAUGCAACAUGACUCUGAAGUAUAUCUGAAUUUAAGAGAUUUUACCUAUUGUGAAGAACAGGUAGGACAUUGGUACCAUUAGGUAAAAGCCAAGGAGGAGUCUGGCAUAAUGGAUAGAAGGCUGGUUGCAGAAUCAGGAAGACUACCUCUGACAUCUAAAAGCUAUAUUACUAUGGACAACUCCCUCAACUUCUUAAUGUUGCAGACAAUAAGUUAAGAAAUGACUAUAAACUCUUUUGGAGUGGCAAAGGAUUGUAAACUGAGGGGAUAUUCAUCUUUUGGGGAAUGACUGAACAAGCUGUAAUAUAUGAUUGUAAUGGAAUACUCUUUUGCUAUUAAAGAUGAACAAGACAAUUUCAGAAAAAUGUGGAAGACUUAUGUGAAUUGAUGCAAAGUAAAGUGAGUAGAACCAAAGGAAAUUUGCACACAACAACAGGAAUAUUGUGAAGAAUAUCAACAAUGAAUGACUUAACUACAAUAAUCUCUUCUACAUCACAGAAGUUAAGAGCACUGCACUUCCACAAUCUGGAAAAUCCUCAUAAAUUUUUUGGCUCUCCCUUCAUCCCAAGAGAAAUCUGGUCUUGUUUUCCCUUGUACUCUGAGACUUGGUGGCAUCCAGCACUCCAUCUACUGACUUUGGUACUUUGCAUUGACUACUCCACAGACCUGGU
rnacentral:lncRNA from 1 species